UACGUAGGGUGCAAGCGUUAAACGGAAUUACUGGGCGUAAAGCGUGCGCAGGCGGUUUUGUAAGUCUGACGUGAAAUCCCCGGGCUCAACCUGGGAAUUGCGUUGGAGACUGCAAGGCUAGAAUCUGGCAGAGGGGGGUAGAAUUCCACGUGUAGCAGUGAAAUGCGUAGAGAUGUGGAGGAACACCGAUGGCGAAGGCAGCCCCCUGGGUCAAGAUUGACGCUCAUGCACGAAAGCGUGGGGAGCGAACAGG
rnacentral:rRNA from 1 species